rnacentral:rRNA from 1 species
AUUGAACGCUGGCGGCAGGCUUAACACAUGCAAGUCGAGCGGGGUGAUGGUGCUUGCACUAUCACUUAGUGGCGGACGGGUGAGUAAUGCUUAGGAAUCUGCCUAUUAGUGGGGGACAACAUCUCGAAAGGGAUGCUAAUACCGCAUACGUCCUACGGGAGAAAGCAGGGGAUCACUUGUGACCUUGCGCUAAUAGAUGAGCCUAAGUCGGAUUAGCUAGCUGGUGGGGUAAAGGCCUACCAAGGCGACGAUCUGUAGCGGGUCUGAGAGGAUGGUCCGCCACACUGGGACUGAGACACGGCCCAGACUCCUACGGGAGGCAGCAGUGGGGAAUAUUGGACAAUGGGGGGAACCCUGAUCCAGCCAUGCCGCGUGUGUGAAGAAGGCCUUAUGGUUGUAAAGCACUUUCAGCGAGGAGGAAAGGUUGAUGCCUAAUACGUAUCAACUGUGACGUUACUCGCAGAAGAAGCACCGGCUAACUCCGUGCCAGCCGCCGCAGUAA